rnacentral:lncRNA from 1 species
AACUGACCCCCAAAUAAGCAGUCAAAUUUAUCCCCUUAAGUCCUCUGGAUAUGCCCACAGCAGUGAGGCUACUGGCACUUUACAUCUACGGUGUGAUGCACAGAUUUCAAAAUACUUUCAGAGAAAUUCUUUUGAUCCUGACAUAUCCCUGACUGGUAAGACAUGCCAGAAUGUGUUAUUCCCAUUUUACAGUUAAAACAAAACAAAACACCUGAAGCCCAGAACGAUUAAGUGACUUGUGUACUAAUUAUAUUGAUAGGAAGGUGUUCUGACUGGAAGUCAGAAAUUUUAAACCAGUAGCUCUGAUGAACCAGAAAAAGCAAGAUUAUGUUGAAGUCAAAAGUUGUACCGCCACCCCCACUCCUUGAUCCCACUGGCUUGACACAACACAACAAAUGCUGCUCCUGCUUCAUUUCCAACUUGAAGUUCAUGGGAGAAGAGUGGGGAGGCUCUACUCCACCUGGUUACUCGGGGACUCAGGCUGUCAGAGGCACCACUGUCUUAUGACAAUGCCAUCUCAUUAUAUGACCUGAGGGUUUGCUGCAGCAAGAGAAGAGAAGGUAGAGAACUCACAGCCAUUCUUUCUCUGCUAAGUAGCCCAGUGGCCGGACUAGUUGCAUGACCCCAAAUUAACUACAUGGGAGCCUGGAAAAUCCUCCUAUAUGCUCAGAAAGGAAGGUGAGCCCCAGAAAUCUCUAUUGCAGGUUUUUAGGUGCAAUAUAGGGGGCCCAUGUGGAACUAAAGAUGCUUUAUGAUAAAUAUUGUAAACCUCUCAUUUGUUUAAGAAGUAUAGAAAGAGAUAAAACAAAUGUAAACAGCACAUGAUGUGUGAGGUAGUUGCCAAAAAGAAAUAAUUUGUGAUCACAAUAGGUCAUGUUAAACUCUCCCUUUCUGAGUGUUUGUUUUAAACUUCAGAUUUAUUGACAUAUAGUUGCAAAUACAAUUAUAAGGUAUUUAAAGUGUACGUCAUGUAAUACGAUAUAUACGUUAUAAAAGGAUCUCCCCCACCCCGUCUAGCUAAUUAACACCAUCACAUCUUUAUUUUUAUUUUUAUUUUUUUGGUUAGAAUACUUCCCCUUUUAGACCGGAUUUUUUGAAAAUUAGAAUGUUCUCCAAAAGCUGAACAGAAAACUUAUGUUUUAAGGCCACUGAUUCUCUCCCUCCUCUGCCCUGUUUUAUAGAAAAACCUUUAGAUUAAAAACAAAACCAACAAAACAAAACUCUUCAAGGUAUCCUUUAGUAAAUAUCAAGGUUCACUCCUAAGAUAUUUUAGGAAACGCAUUGUGUCAUUUAUAAAAAGUUUUAUUAACCACUUGGGUUAUUUCCCAGGAAAUAAGCAUCUCUAUGGUUUGCCCUCUCUCUGGAUCUCUGAGGUACUGGAAAAGUGAGUCAGGGACAUGAACCAGUUUGACUGUGAGUUCCACAGAGGCUUGGCUGUGGAUGGCCUUUUAGUGUAAAAGAUUUGAGAAUUUUUUGGCGAUAAGGCUGGCACCCAGGGGCUGGACAGAAAGUGAAAUGGUUCAGAGCCAGCUGGACUGCCUGAGACACUUCUCGCGUGACGUGUGUCUCUCGCAUCCGUGUGUGUUUUCCACGUGGUGAUCCACCCCAGCACCAGUUGCUGCCUGGAUAUCCUUGUGUUUGAAUUGCCCUUGCCUCCACGCCGAGGACUCACCUAAGAGACUUGCCUGGGGCUCCCGCCCGGCUCUGUGCCUUCUGGCAGCAGCUUAUGGGCAGAGGGUCAGCCCGCCAUGAGCUCCCUGCUAAACCCCUAUCGGCACAGCAGAAAUGCUUGGAAAGGCUUUGCACAGAGACUUGUUUUUCAGCCCUACCCUUCUCUUUUAAAAUGCAGUAUUUCUUUUCGGUGAUACACCUUUAUUUCUCAUAGUUCUGAAGGCUGAGAAGUCCAAGAUCCAAGUGCUAGAUGAGUUGUGUCUGGUGAGAACCUUCUUCCUGGUUUCUUCCUGGUUUCCACAGCCUCCUUGCUGUGUCCUCACAGGGUGAAGUGUUUCUUGGAUAAAGUGAACUUCACAGCAUAAAAUAGCCAUCCGGAGCACACACGCCCGUAGUCAUUUUCAUGAUAAUUGGCACUUUUGUAUGAAACCUCAUGUAUAGGAAGUUCAGGUAUCAUCUUAGUCUCAGCAGGUGCUUUUGAGUUUCAUAGGUCACACAUUCCAUCCUCUCUAUUCCAGGGAUAUAAAACGUGGAAGUGGAGCGACUUACCCGAGGUGGCAGGCAGGACACGUGGACAGAUGCGAGUGGGCCGUGUCUGCGACCUACACCACAGAUCACGACAACAUCGGAUUGUUAACCCACUGAGCAAGGGCAGGGAUCGAACCUGCAACCUCAUGGUUCCUAGUCGGAUUCAUUAACCACUGCGCCACGAUGGGAACUCCAAGUGUGUCCUUUUUUAAAAACCCAAAUGGUGUCCAUACCAUGUUUAACGUCUAUGUCACUCUGUCUAGUUAAAUUCACACUUUUCCUCUGAUAUCACAUUGAUUUUGUAUCGUAGUUUUUGUGACAGAGAAUGCUGUGGUCCUCAGUGACUUACCAGUAAAAAUUCACUUCUCUUUUACAAGUCCAGCAUGGGCAUUUAGUGGACAAGCAACCAGCUCCUUCCAUCUAGAAGUUGUUCCAUGGAUUUUUGGAACCUUUUGCUUCUAGCUGAUGAAGAAAAGAGACGAUCUUAGGGAGUCUUGCUGGAGCUUUUUAUGUGUCACCCCUGGAAAGGGCAUACAUCAUUUCUGCCCACAUUCUUUUGGCAGCACUAAGUCAAAUAUCCCCCUCUGUCUGCAAGGAGAGCUGGGAAAUGUAGUUCUUUACUGCAAAUCCAGUCACUAGUAUCCAGUCCACACAGGCGAAGGGGGGCACACCACUUUGCUGGAGAGAGAACAAUCUCUCCAUAGUUCUCACCCCCAGUGUACCUAGUUUUCUUAGAAUUCCUGUGAGUGUGAUUUUUUUCCCUCUCGGCAUAUGAGUAUACAGUAGGGGGGGUGGUAGGGAUUUUCAGACCACAGAUGUAACCUAUGAGAGUUUGAGAACCAGUGCUUUAUUUAGGAGGCCAAGAUCAAGUUCAGCUUUUCCACCUAUUCGUAUAUGAGCCCAGGUCCCAGAACUGCCCCAUGGUGUCUGUCUGAGAACAGGGAGACCCACUGGCUCCCCAGACACUCCAUGUGACCUCCUCGCACUAAAUGAUUCCCUCUAUCAUCUAACCCAGUUAGAGCCAAGAAGAGAGGGAUUCCAGAAUCCCCAAAUCCCAGUCUGCCUGUAAAACACGAUAGUGAUAUUCUAAUAGUCCUUUUCAAGCUUUAAUUUAAUGGUCCCUCCCCCUGCCCCCAUGCUAGACUUGCUACGCAGCAAUUUCCUGGCACCCUUUUAGCUUACAAAACUUUCUCUGCUACUAGAGGGAAAAAAUGAACAAAAGCAAAUCAGCAAUCUAAAGAACUUUGCUAAGUGAAAUGCUGGUGAGGGAGAAGUUCCUGAAGUUGCUGGGAAAGGAGCAGCCUGACCCAGCCUCCCUCCUGGCAGGGGUCGGAGGAUGGCCCCCUCCCCCUCCGUGCCGCCUGAGUCUGUCCCCAGCAUAGAAGCCCUGGGAUGAAGCUGUGGAGGAAGGAAAACGCAGAAGGAGGUGAGCUGUGUCCCUUCCCUGCCCUCAGUCUGGGCCUCUCUGAGCCCGCGGCCUUGCGGGUGGACCUGGGACAGGCAGUAGAGGAUUGAGGCCCCGAGUCCCCCCAGGCAUUUCACCGGGGCUCUCUCUUCUCUGCUGGUUUGCGUGGCCUCUGUGGUCACUGUUCUCCGUGUCAGCACAUUCAAAAUUGCUGACUGUAAACACUGAAGGCGGCGUGCCUGCUACUGAAGAAGCCACAAGGAAAACAGCUUUGGGCAAUCUUGGAUGUUCUCCGUGUGACAGAGUCCUCGCCCCCAGCGCUGGUGCUUUACCCAGCAUGGGGUUCUGUGGUUUGGGCGGGAUGGACAGAAAGACAGAAGGGGCAGGGGGAAGGCGCUUGGCCUUUUGAGAUCUUUUCUUAAGGAAAUAAAUAUUGGUUUUCUAGGAGCCUAGAUAGAAGAGGAGUUCCGGCAGUCAGAAUGAGAGGCUUGCCAGCAAGCAGAUGAGAGGCUAGCAACCAAACCCACGUGCAGAUAGAAGUUGGGGGCCCUUAGAGGAAUAAGGGACUAUGCCAGGGUUUUGGAAGGAAGUGGUUACCAAAAUACCAGAGUAAACCAAAUCGCCUCUUCAAGUCCCUUGGCCUGGAGUAGCCCAGAAAGCCGAGAUGGUGGGUGGUGCCCUUCCCACAGCGGGGGACUUGGCUAGGCUCUGAGCUGCUGUGCAACAGUGGGUCUCUGGGGCCUGUCGGGGGGACGUCCGCAGACCAGGGUGUGUGUCUUUGUAGCCUUUCAAAUCACAGCCAUUCACAGAGGGCGUGUGGAUUAGAAUCUUCCAUGGUCAAACCAAGGAGAGUGGGUUACCCAGCUUCAGCAAGUUUGCUAGUCUCUGUGCUAACACUUAAAGCAGCCAGCUUCGUCUUUCCUUCUGAGAAAUCAGGAAGGAAGCUCUAGUAGAACAAUUUGUGGCUCUGUAUUGAGAGCCUCCUUUGUAAACAUGAUAUAGCCUGGGUUCUGGGGUGGAUGAGUCCGUUCUGCGGAGAAAAAGAAAGCAGAGAACGUGUGUAUGUGUGUGUCAUAUGUAUAUACAAAGAUACAUAUACCUAUAUAGCCAAUAGGACAUAUAUACCAAUGUAUACCAACAGGUGAUGUAUCUUAUAUAUGUGUGUAUGUAUGUAUCAUAUAUAUCACACAUAUCCUAUAUAUCUCCAUAUAUAUCCUAUAUGUCCACAUAUGUGUAUGUAUGUGUAUAUGUAUAUACGCAUACACACACAUACACAGAGGGAGAGAGAUUUAUUUUAAAGAAUUGGCUUAUGUGAUUGUGGAGACUGGCAAGUCCAAAAUCUGUAGAGCAGGCCAAUAGGCUGGAGAUUCAGGUGGAGUGAUGCUGCAGUCUUGAGGCCCCAGUCUACAGACUAGAAACUCAGGCAGGGCUUCUAUGUUACAGUCUUAAGACAGAAUUGGUUCUUCAGAAAACCUCAAUCUUUGCUCAUAAGGCCUUCCAAUGCUUGGAUGAGGCCCACUCAUAUUAAGGAGGGCAGUAUGCUUUCCUCUAAGUCUACUGAUGUAAAUGUUAAUCACAUCUAAAAAUAUAACCUUUACAGCCACAUCAAGACUGGUAUUUAACCAAAGAACUGGGCACCAUAGCCAAGUCAAGUUGACACAUAAAAUUAGCCAUCGUAUGGGGGAUUUGUAUGUUGGAAGUGGAACGUUAUAUGCAGAUGCCCAUAUGUCAAAUAAUAGAAAUGAAGAGAGUAAAACAUAUUACAAGCUAGACUGUCCCAGUGACAUGCUUGCUGGUUUUCUUAUGGCAGAUUAUACCUGGUGUAAUCUCUGAUCUAAUGGGCAUUCAUUGGAAAUAGUUCUUUUUACCUUGAUGUCAGAGGAAGAGCACCCGGGCCAGCACAGAGCACGGGAAGAGUGAGAGUUCAGGUCCUGAUACCGCCUCUGUCUUAUGAUAAGCGCCUGAGAGUAAUUCACUUCUGCCACCGCUUCUGUACUUUGAGAAGCGUGUUGAUGAGGCACAGAGGCCGCAUCGCCAGAGGGGAUGAGAGGAAGCAGCCCGGCUCAGAGCCCAGCCCCCACACUACUGGCAUGUCGUUUAACCUACCUGUGCCUCAGUUCCUCACGUGACCAGGGGGAUGAUCACUAGUGAUUUCUACCACAUGGGGCUCUCGGGACAAUACAGUUAAAUGCACUAACAUAUAUAAGUGUCUGCACAUAGUGCCACAUAAAUGUUUGCUAGUAUAAUGAUUACUUCCUGGGAACAUGAAGCUCUAAAGUCUGAAUAGAGGAUGGAGAUAGUUGAAGAAAAGUUUUUAGGCAGUUCCCGUUAUGUCUCAGUGGAAAUGAAUCCAAUUAGGAACCACGAGGUUGUGGGUUUGAUUCCUGGCCUCGCUCAAUGGGUUAAGGAUCUGGUGUUGCCGUGAGCUGUGGUAUAGGUCGAAGAUGCGGCUUGGAUUUGACAUUGCUGUGGCUGUGCUGUAGGCCAGCAGCUGUGGCUCCUAUUCAACCCCUAGCCUGGGAACCUCCGUGUGCCUUGAGUGCAGCCCUCG